rnacentral:lncRNA from 1 species
GGGGGUCCACCUGCCAUAGGCUAGUAGCUAAUCUAACUAGUAAUUAUCCCCUGAAGUAAUUUGCAUAGGGUCGGCCAGAGGCGCAAGCAGCACCAUGGAUGUGCACAUACACGCACAACCCAUGUGUGUUCAGCCAUGGCCACGGCCACAUGCGAGGCUAGCGCUGGAGCAACCAACAGUGGCGGCAAGUAGAGCAGCAGUAGCAAAAUGAGUAGCAACAGCAAAAGAGUAGCAGCGGCAUAUCAGCAACAUCAAAACGGCAGUGGUGUCUGCUAGUAGAUCAGCAGCCGGAAAGCGUCAGCGGCAUGCGAGAAGCAGCAGCAUAGCAGCCUCAUCAAUAUUCAGUAGUAAGCAGCAGCAACCAUCACGGCAGCUAGCGGGACAGGGGCGCCGCCCGGGCGAACGUCCGCGCGCGAGGAGCAGCAGUACAAGCAGCAGCAGAGCAGCGGCAGGGACGCGGACGACUAUGGCGGCGCGCCUGGGCGCGGCCAGGGAGCGGCGGGCGCGAGCCAGCAAGGCCUAACGCGGCCAGAGGCGCGCGAGCGCGGACUGUGGCGCAGCGAGCACGAGCUCCUACGGCGCCGGGCACGGCGGUGACGGCGGCCUACGGUGGUACGCGGACAAACGACGAGGUUGCUCUAGAGGACCGGAUCGAUACAGGGAAAGGGAGGAGGAGCUGGGUCUCACAGUGGUGGCAACGGCGAGAGCAGGUGGUUCCGGGAGGUUCGAACGACGGUGGAUCGAAGCCGUGGCCGAGGCGAACGCUGACGGAGGGGAUCGGCGCGGUCCGGCGAUGCAUCGAGGAUGGGCUCGAUCUGGCCCUUGUAGACGAAGCAGAGGAAGCGGGCGGAGCUCCUGGCGAAGUCUUGGCCGACGGGGAGGUCGGUGGCCACUGCGAUGCAGCAGCUAGUGGCGACGGUGCUUCGGGCGCACGCGGGGAGAAGAGAGCGACGCGAGGUGGAGAUGAAGUGGGCGGCUAGGGUUCACAGGGGGACGAGGGCGACCUUAUCUGCAUCAGGGGGCCACGGGAUGGAUGUCGCGUGGUCAUCCGCGGCCAUGGACGUGGCGCACGCCUCCACGGCGCUCCUGAUGAGCAGUAGGAAGGAGGAGGUGGCGAGGUGGGCUGGGCUCCCACGGUUGACCUAGAGCCAAGUCCACCAGUAGUUUAGCUCUUUUUUCUUAAUUUUCUUUCUGCUUCUUUGAUUUCUUCUCGGACUUGUAAAUUGCUAGGCCACCCAUUCACUUUGUAAAAUAUGAGACUUGGCUUAAUAAAUUACAUGUAAUAUUUAGCACUGUUAUAAAACGGUUCGAGGAAUAUUAGAAUUCGUUUGAUUUUUGCAUAAAAGGAAAUGGAUUAAAAAGGGUGUUCUGGACACUGUAAAUAGGUUAGGGGUAAUUUAAUAUUUCAAAUAAUGUUGGUUCCUUCAGGAAAAUUAAUUAGUGAAACUUUGUAACCCAGCGAACAUUUUUGUGUUGCCGUUUGAAGGAAUAAGAAUUUGACUUGUUUUGGAAGUUGAAUUUGAUUCGUGUUUGAAACAAAGUAAGAUUAGCAACAGUAAUUGCGAUGACUCGGCACCAUUAACAUGGGAUUACUGUAGCUUAAUUAUCCGGGCGUCACAAUUCUCCUCCACUACAAGAAAUCUCGUCCCGAGAUUUAAGGGGUGGAGUAAGGGGGAAUGACUCAGGAAGGACGGAUCUCAACACAAGAUAGGUACGUGGGGACUACGUGAGUGAACGUGGCAUAGAGGCAUCUCUCGAGUUGAAAUUCAAGAAAGUCAUCGAGAGCAAGGUGAGGUGCAAUAAGAAGCUUCAACCUGGUAGACGAUCGUUUGUUGCUUGAAACAAGGGGUGAAAGGGGUUCAGAGUAGUGGUAAUAAGUAUUGCGUCUGAUACCAUAAUAGAUCGCCUCUCGGAAGGCGGCUCAGGAUUUUCAUAUGAAGCCAAGCGUGAGAAAUAACCUUAGAAACAAGGGUGUACAGGAGAGUUAGGUUUCGAUCCUGUGGAACUAUGGGUUAUGAGCUCACCAUGUGGGUUAAAGGUAGGAAAGGCGUUGACAUCUUGCACAGAUGAUAGCAAGGCAUGUCAGAUGACAACCUGUCAGUUAUGUUGGCAACGACGUCGGUACCAAGGGCGAGGGACAAAGAGAACCAUUUUCCUGCUCGUUAGGACGAGGCGGACCAAUAGGCAAAGUUCUCGUCCAUCGGUGGUUACCGGAAUGUCAUCAACAAUAGUAACAGGGUCUUACUGACAGAGUUGUACAUCGAGGUGCUUACCUAAGCAGGGAUUUAUCUCUGCUCAGACAAGUUAGAUUACAAGAAAGGUAAAACAAAACAAUGGAAAGGAAAAUGUGAUUAUUAUGAUAAUCAGACCAAUGGAAAGGAAAGAUGUUUAUACCCAAGUAUUAGAGUAUAACUUUCCCAAGGAAAGGCAGAGCAUGAUUGGACUCCAAGUAUUAAACCGUUUAGAUAAAGGGGCAAGGAACUUAUGAGGUUUACCUAUACAACGGUGUUUGGAUAAUUGAUCAAGAACAGUUAGCAUUGCACUCCCAAUGUUUUUGUUGAUGUUUGGAGUAACACAGUCAUGCUUCGAGGUAACAGUAACAUGGUGUUUCAAGCAAGAUUGAAUCUGAAGGUCACAAGAAGUACAAAGGAACAAUUCCAAGAAUGUCAAGGAAUGUAAGAUAUAACCAAAACAUGACCAAGUCUGUAUUGGUAGGAAGUCAAGGAUGGUGUCGAUGACAACACAAAUCAUCGACGGGCAAGGAUGGUAUUUCUCCUCAAGAAUUCAAUUGAUAUCUUAGAAUAAGGCAGUAUAUUGAUGGUGAUUCACGACAAAUUUUGUCGAGAGGCUCUAAGAAGAUGCCAUCGAGCAGCAACGACAUCAAGCAAAAGGAAUGAUGAAGCGAAGGCUAUUGGAACCACGGAUACGACAUAAGCUCGGAUUCAAGCUUGUUGUUCAAGGUGGAAUGAUAAGAUGAGGAAGAUCGACGUAAGCUUCACUCAUCGUAAGCUUCACUCAUCGUCGAAAAGUUGUGCUUCGGGAAGGACCAGGUAGCACAGUUAAAAAGUUGCACGAUAAUGAUAUAGCCGAUCAGGCUAGGAAUGACUUGAAGGAUUAACAAACUCAUAAGCAAUGAAGAUUAUUUAGAGUUAUUGAAUCGGAGUGCGGAAGUGAUUUACUUAUCAGUGUUCUCGGUUGACGACAACUCAGAACCCAGGAAAAUUGAAAUCGGUGAGAAAUAACAGUUGAUGAAGAACCCAUAAGAAGUUAUGUAGUUCAGUGAUAUUCUUGAGAUACCAGAGUGUAACACUCGAUGGUAGAUCAAAGUAAAGGUUGGAUAGGUGCAAUGAUCUGCAGAAUACAAGUACUUCAACUUGUCCAAGAAAUGGGACCAAAGAAGAACAAUCAUGGUGAGAACCACGGUUGCAAAGGACCAAUAUAGAUACAAGAUGAACUUAUCACAAGGGGAUCAUUAUUAUCAUAACAAGAAGCUUCCAUGAUAAGUUCCACAUCGGGUCCAUGGGCGUGAACACAAAGGUUCAAGGUCGACUCCCACUUCAUCAAUGCACAACCUUCCAUUCACUUCUCGCAUUCGAAGUUGUAGCGUUGAUAUGUUAUCCGAAGAAACGCUAGUAGAUAUAACCUGCAUAACCUUCCGGUUCACACGGAUUAGGCAAGGCGUAGAUUCAACCCACUGGGGCAUCUUAUGAACAUAGACCACAAACUUCACGAGUAAAUAACUCAAGCUCGAAAGUAGAGCAUGAUUGAGGAAGCAGAGGAUACAAUUUACCAAAGGCAUUAUGUAUCCGAGGAAAAGCUCACAAUGUUACUAAAUAAGAAGGACGCUGUCGGAUAAAACCCAACAAAGGAUCUGGUGGUCCACAAGGGAUCUGAUGUGAGCAUCGAUACUCACCCAGAAGAAGAAAGAAUGCAAGGAUAUCAGAUUAUAGAAACAACUGACUAAUUCAAAGCUCAAAUGCAAAGGAAAUAUGAUUUCCAAAAUGGUGGAUCAGAAGCAGAGGCCCUGAUCAAAGACAGGUUAGUUGAAUAGACAUAGAUCGACAAUCAAUCAAGGUUUGAUUUGUCGAACACCAGCUCAUGUCAGGGGUGACGUCUGAGCCGAAGGGAAGAAUUCUAACUUUGAUUGAUGAUUGCAAGCAUUCACAAACAUAUCGAAUCAAAUGCUCAAAAUGAAAUAUGACAAAUGAUACUACUGAAUAUUGCCAGACAUAUGGAAAGCAUCCACAAUGCAAGCAUACAAGGAGGAGCAAGAGUAGUAGGUUUCUAAGGAUUUUCGGAAGAUCGGAUAAUAUUCCAAAGAAUUUUGUGAAACAGUGAACAACUGUGGACGAACAGAUACUCGGCAAGCGCGAGUAAUUAUCCGCAGGGGUAUUCAUGUGGCAAAGAACUGCAAGGCAGUAGGCUCAAUGGAUUCUUAGGACAACAGAGAGUAAUUCAAGGCAUCUUGUAAUAACAAGAGCAACUGGGGAUGAAGGUAUGAACGACAACGUAGGUAGUUACUCAUAAGGAUUUAUCGGUGGUAUGGAAUUGCAACGGCAAAGGGCACAAGGGUUUCGGGGAAACAUCGGGAGUAUCUUCGAAAUCUUCUAAAGCAGCAAGCGAUCAUCUGGCCUGAAGGGGCUCUCCGGGAGAAAGUGGGUACGAGAUCCUAAUGUCUGACUUAGUAAAAUGUUUAACCCGAAUAGACAAGAGAUCAGAGUCCCAGAGUAUAGACGAGGAAUAAAAUAUCCUAAUACCACCCAAUGGCGACGUGGGCCCGUAAGCCACACAACCAAUGUUAGUAAAAGUUUUUCAGUGACUAGACUCAACUUCAGCCAAGGAGUCGGAAAGGGGGCUACCUACAGGCAGUCGGCUCUGAUACCAACUUGUGACGCCCUCGAUUCAAUUGUACACUAAUCAUGCACGCAAAUGUAUAUGAUCAAGAUCAAGGACUCACGGGAAGAUAUCACAACACAACUCUAGACACAAAUUAAAAUAAUACAAGCUUUAUAUUACAAGCUAGGGGCCUCGAGGGCUCGAAUACAUAAGCUCGAAAACACAAGAGUCAGCGGAAGCAACAAUAUCUGAGUACAGACAUGAGUUAGACAAGUUUGCCUUAAGAAGGCUAGCACAAAAGCAUCUACGAACGAAAAGGCAAGGCCUCUUGCCUGGGAGCCUCCUAACUACUCCUGGUCAUCGUCGGUCUCCACGUAGUAGUAGGCAUCGGCGGUGGCAUCUGGCUCCUGGGCUCCGACAUCUGGUUGCAUCAACCGGAAAGAAGAAGAAAGAGGGAAAAGGGGGAGCAAAGCAACCAUGAGUACUCAUCCAAAGUACUCGCAAGCAAGGAUCUACACUACAUAUGCAACAUUAUCAAAGGAAGGCUGUAAAUGUGGACUGGGCUGCAGAAAUGCCAGAAAAGAGAGAAGGCCUAGUCCUAUCAAAAACUAGCAUCUUUUGGAAACCACCAUCUCGCAGCAACAGGAGGGAGUAGAGUAGCAUAAAGUAAAGUAGUAGUAGUGUUAUCAACCUCGGCCGGAGAUCCUUUCUCGACUCCCUGCGAGAAAGAAAUCCCAGAGCCAUACUAUCCAGUUAUCAUCACAAUCCAAUUCUCAUCACCAUCCAGUUCUAGUUGUAUCGAUCGGGAUACAACUCCAAGUGUUCGUUACCGUAGGACAGGCUAUCGAUAGAUGUUUUCUUCCUUGCAGGGGUGCACCAACUUACCCACCACGCUCGAUUAACUCCGGCCGGACACACUUUCCUGGGUCAUGCCUGGCCUCGGCCAAACAAUACGCCGCAACCCGACCUAGGCUUAAUAGAGAAGCCAGCACGCCGGACUAAACCUAUGCCCCCAGGGGUCAUGGGCCAUCUCCCCGGGAACUCCUGCACGUUGCGUGGGCGGCCGGUGAGCAGACCUAGCUACCUCCCUAAAAAGGCAGGAGCUUACCAGUCCAACCCGGCGUGCGCCGCUCAGUCGCUGACGUCUAUUAAGCUUCGGCUGAUGUAUACGACGCAGAACACCCAUACUAUGCCCACGUGAUGGUUAGUGCUAUCAGGCCAGAGGCCCCUCGGAUCAAAUAUCCAAAUCGUAGUGUAUUAGGAACGCGCGGUAACAAGCAGAGAUUCACGAAAGAUGUGACCCCGUUGCCCCGUCUCGAGGACUUGCGGCAAGGGCUAGGAAUGUCCGGCCACGCCUCGUAAUUAUCUCGCGGGCACCCUCCAGGUCAACCCGUCUCCACAUCACUCGCAAUUAAGCUCGCGCGGGUACCCCUCAGGGUCGACCCGUCUUUAGUAACAUGGUUCAGUGUAAAGACAUAGUAACCAUAGUAACUGUGUAUCCAAACAUCAAGGGGAAAACCCGAGGAAUCACCCCGGUGAAUUCCACUCGAUGUAAUCAUCAAGGUGAACGUAAGAGGAACCACCCCGAGGUUCACACUUGAGGGGUUGCACGACAGAGCCGUAUCGAAAGUGGUUAUGGAGGAAAUCACCCUCGAUGACCAUGAAUGAAUAGCUACACUACAGAGAUCUCAUCAGGAGUGAUGUAUGAAGGUCCACCCUCGACACUCGAUGGUAACCCUGCAGAGUCGAGCAACAAAAGGGGCGUGAUGUGAUGUGAGGUAUCGGGCUCUGGUCUUCGAUCCCGUUGAACGGGUCUUCGAUGAUGAAGCAGGGGCAACAAGGACAAGAUGGGGUCACUGAUGGAUCACUAACUAACCUAUACUAAGUAGUUUAGGAUAAGCAGGUAGAUAACAAUGAGCAGGUUACAAAAGCAGGCUAUGCAUCAGAAUAGGAGCAAACAAUAACAAUAGCAAAAUCUAAUGCAAGCAUGAGAGAAUGAAAUGGGCGAUAUCGGGAUGAUCAAAAGGGGGGCUUGCCUGGUUGCUCAGACAAGAACGAGGGGUCGUCGGUGACGUAGUCAAUCACAACGGCAUCGACAGCCGCCACGUGGUCUACCGAAAAGAAGAGGGGGGAGAAACAGUAAAUACAUAGCAAGCAAGUGCAUAACAGGAUAGAAGGCAUAGCUAGACGUGUUCUAACGCGGUCCUAGACGUUAUAGGUGAAGGGGGAAUUCAACUGGGAAGGUGUUCCCGGUUCCGGGCCUGUGUCAGACAGAUGACCGCAGGGGGAAAGUUCCAUGUUCAGCAUACUAGGGGCAUGUGACUGGUGAAUGGAUAGCGUAUUCGGAUUCGUUGGAUUUUUCUGAGCAACUCUCAUGUAGAAAACAUUUUCAUCCGAGCUAUGGAUUAUUUUAUAUGAUUUUUCAAAGAUUUAGACAAUUUCUGGAAUUUCAGGAUUUACUAAUAAAUCAAAAAGUAAAAUACCUAAAAUGCUACGGGUACACAAGGAAGUGUACCCAACAGUGUGUAAGAGGCUGACAGGUGGGGUCUAGUUGACUGCCUAGUCAGCAGUCAACUGAGACUGUUGACUAGUCAAAGGGCCCGGGGGACCCGCAUGUCAUUGACUGGGUUAUCCCAGUCAGCAGUUUAACUGGUCAAUGGGACCAGGGGGACCCAAGUGUCAUCCACACAUAUUUUAGCAUUUUUUCAGAGGAUAUUUAGAGGAAGGGGGGUCCACCUGCCAUAGGCUAGUAGCUAAUCUAACUAGUAAUUAUCCCCUGAAGUAAUUUGCAUAGGGUCGGCCAGAGGCGCAAGCAGCACCACGGAUGUGCACAUACACGCACAACCCAUGUGUGUUCAGCCAUGGCCACGGCCACAUGCGAGGCUAGCGCUGGAGCAACCAACAGUGGCAGCAAGAAGAGCAGCAGUAGCAAAAUGAGUAGCAACAGCAAAAGAGUAGCAGCGGCAUAUCAGCAACAUCAAAACGGCAGUGGUGUCUGCUAGUAGAUCAGCAGCCGGCAAGCGUCAGCGGCAUGCGAGAAGCAGCAGCAUAGCAGCCUCAUCAAUAUUCAGUAGUAAGCAG